GGGGCUGUAGCUCACUUGGCUAGAGCGCCUCGUUUGCACCGAGGAGGUAAAGGGUUCGACUCCCUUCAGCUCCACCA
rnacentral:tRNA from 3 species